rnacentral:rRNA from 1 species
UACAGAGGGGGCAAGCGUUGUUCGGAAUUACUGGGCGUAAAGGGCUCGUAGGUGGCCAACUAAGUCAGACGUGAAAUCCCUCGGCUUAACCGGGGAACUGCGUCUGAUACUGGAUGGCUUGAGUUCGGGAGAGGGAUGCGGAAUUCCAGGUGCAGCGGUGAAAUGCGUAGAUAUCUGGAGGAACACCGGUGGCGAAGGCGGCAUCCUGGACCGACACUGACACUGAGGAGCGAAAGCCAGGGGAGCAAACGGG